rnacentral:rRNA from 1 species
AUUGAACGCUGGCGGAACGCUUUACACAUGCAAGUCGAACGGCAGCACGGACUUCAGUCUGGUGGCGAGUGGCGAACGGGUGAGUAAUACAUCGGAACGUGCCCAGUCGUGGGGGAUAACGUAGCGAAAGCUACGCUAAUACCGCAUACGAUCUAAGGAUGAAAGCGGGGGACCGUAAGGCCUCGCGCGAUUGGAGCGGCCGAUGGCAGAUUAGGUAGUUGGUGGGGUAAAGGCUCACCAAGCCGACGAUCUGUAGCUGGUCUGAGAGGACGACCAGCCACACUGGGAAUGGGACACGGCCCAGACUCCUACGGGAGGCAGCAGUGGGGAAUUUUGGACAAUGGGCGCAAGCCUGAUCCAGCCAUUCCGCGUGCAGGAUGAAGGCCCUCGGGUUGUAAACUGCUUUUGUACGGAACGAAAAGGCUCUGGUUAAUACCUGGGGCUCAUGACGGUACCGUAAGAAUAAGCACCGGCUAACUACGUGCCAGCCGCCGCUGUAA